GGGCAGCGUAGCGAGCACGCCCGGCCGGCUUCAUCGGCAGGGCUGUAUCCCGCCGCGACGCGUGUUGCAGAUGCUCUGUUCUAUCUUUAUAUGCGCGCAUCUGGUUUGGGACCAGAGGGUCGCAGGUUCGAAUCCUGCCGCUCCGACCA
rnacentral:tRNA from 1 species